rnacentral:rRNA from 1 species
CUACGGGACGCUGCAGUGGGGAAUAUUGCACAAUGGAGGAAACUCUGAUGCAGCAACGCCGCGUGGAGGAUGACACUUUUCGGAGCGUAAACUCCUUUUAUAUAGGAAGAAGAUGACGGUACUAUAUGAAUAAGCGCCGGCUAACACCGUGCCAGCAGCCGCGGUAAUACGGAGGGCGCAAGCGUUACUCGGAAUCACUGGGCGUAAAGAGCGUGUAGGCGGAUUAAAAAGUCAGAAGUGAAAUCCUAUAGCUUAACUAUAGAACUGCUUCUGAAACUCUUAAUCUAGAAUAUGGGAGAGGUAGAUGGAAUUUCUGGUGUAGGGGUAAAAUCCGUAGAGAUCAGAAGGAAUACCGAUUGCGAAGGCGAUCUACUAGAACAUUAUUGACGCUGUGACGCGAAAGCGUGGGGAGCAAACAGGAUUAGAUACCCCCGUAGUC